CUGGUUCAGACCGAUUUGCUGUGGCUGUGGUUGAGGCCGGCUUUCGUCGUCGAAGCGAACACACUCAAUGCAGUUUGCGUCGCAUUUGUCACUCCACCCUUCAGAAAGGUUGUGCAGUGCCCGCAGGGGCGUCUGCAUAAGCAGCUGUUUGGUGUACACCAUGUACCUGACCGCACGAGGGUUGGACCCUCCCACGUGUAGCCGUGCACGACUUAACCGCGUCUGGGGAAAGUGGGAUCCUGGGAGUUCCGCCGAUGCCGGGCGUUUGGGCCUUUAAUGCCCACCGACACAGCAGAAAACUUCGUCCCCCAAACAAAAGGUGGCUCAAGUGGAAGAUGAGUUCCCUGGUGGAACGAAGACUGCAGGCAAGCUCGGAAGAAAGAAAACAAAGCAUGGGGCAUUCUGCGCCGAUACCUGCUGCAGAAAAUCUUGUUGACUCCACACAGUCUAAAUCACAAGGGAGGCGCAUGCAACGGCAGGCAAGGAGAGCAAGCGGAAGAGCUUUCUAUCGUGAAUAAAUUUUUAUACUCAAGAAACAAAA